rnacentral:lncRNA from 1 species
GGCUCUGAGUGCAGUUUCCAGCACCAAAAGUAAAGGAAGUGGAAGGAGAAGGAGAGGGCGGGAGAAGAGGAGGAAGAGGAAGAGGAGGGCAGUGGAGGGGAGAAAGAAGGGAAGGGGGAUGAGCAAGAGGAGGAGGAAGAGGAGGGGCGGAAGGGGGAGAAGGAGAGGGAAGAGGAGGCGAGAGCCAUAAGAGCAGCUCUGCUCCUACAUCUGUUGAAUUCUCUUCCCAUCUGAUGCUAUUGACCAGCAAAUGCAGCUGGGAAUCAAGCAGGGCGACAAAGCAGGAGUUAUGAUGCUGACCACCUCAAAGCAGAUCUCCAACCUAAACCAGGUGGUGAGUUUAUCAUCCUCCUUCCAGUUGAAAAGCAACCCCAGAGUUGGAUAUGUUAAAUGAGGCCAAACCAUAAAGAAGAGCAAAGAAGAAGAAAGUGAACAACUUCUGAUGUUGAAAAAUUGGAUCCCAUGUAAAGAAGUUUCCAGUAAAUAUGUUUUAUUGUGUUAUCUAUUUUCC